AGUGAACGCUGGCAGCAGGCCUAACACAUGCAAGUCGAACGGCAGCACAGCAGUAGCAAUACUGUGGGUGGCGAGUGGCGGACGGGUGAGGAAUACAUCGGAAUCUGCCUUAUCGUGGGGGAUAACGUAGGGAAACUUACGCUAAUACCGCAUACGACCUACGGGUGAAAGCGGAGGACCUUCGGGCUUCGCGCGAUAAGAUGAGCCGAUGUCGGAUUAGCUAGUUGGGGGGGUAAAGGCCUACCAAGGCGACGAUCUGUAGCGGGUCUGAGAGGAUGAUCCGCCAAACUGGUACUCAGGCACGGACCAGCCUGCGACGGGAGGCAGGAGUGGGGAAUAUUGGAAAAUGGGCGUAAGCCUGAUCCAGCCAUGCCGCGUGUGUGAAGAAGGCAUUUUGGUUGUAAAGCACUCUAAGCGAGGAGGAGGCUACCUGGAUUAAUACUCUAGGAUAGUGGACGUUACUCGCAGAAUAAGCACCGGCUAACUCUGUGCCAGCAGCCGCCGUAACAC
rnacentral:rRNA from 1 species